rnacentral:rRNA from 1 species
AUGAACGCUAGCUACAGGCUUAACACAUGCAAGUCGCGGGGCAGCAUGGGGGUUGCUUGCACUCCCCGAUGGCGACCGGCGCACGGGUGAGUAACGCGUAUCCAACCUGCCCUUCACCACGGGAUAACCCGGCGAAAGUCGGACUAAUACCGUAUGUUGUCCAUUGACGGCAUCCGAUUUGGACGAAAGGCUUGGCGGUGAGGGAUGGGGAUGCGUCCGAUUAGCCAGACGGCGGGGUAACGGCCCACCGUGGCUACGAUCGGUAGGGGUUCUGAGAGGAAGGUCCCCCACACUGGAACUGAGACACGGUCCAGACUCCUACGGGAGGCAGCAGUGAGGAAUAUUGGUCAAUGGGCGUAAGCCUGAACCAGCCAAGUAGCGUGCAGGAUGACGGCCCUAUGGGUUGUAAACUGCUUUUAUGCGGGGAUAAAGUGGCCCACGUGUGGGCUUUUGCAGGUACCGCAUGAAUAAGGACCGGCUAAUUCCGUG